CGUUGCUUUCUUUGCUGGCGACCGGCGCACGGGUGGGUAACACGUAUCCAACCUGCCCUUUACUCGGGGAUAGCCUUUCGAAAGAAAGAUUAAUACCCGAUAGUAUAAUGAUUCCGCAUGGUUUCAUUAUUAAAGGAUUCCGGUAAAGGAUGGGGAUGCGUUCCAUUAGGUUGUUGGUGAGGUAACGGCUCACCAAGCCUUCGAUGGAUAGGGGUUCUGAGAGGAAGGUCCCCCACAUUGGAACUGAGACACGGUCCAA
rnacentral:rRNA from 1 species